rnacentral:rRNA from 1 species
UACGUAGGGGGCAAGCGUUGUCCGGAAUCAUUGGGCGUAAAGGGUGCGUAGGCGGGUCUUUAAGUCAGGGGUGAAAUCCUGGAGCUCAACUCCAGAACUGCCUUUGAUACUGAAGAUCUUGAGUUCGGGAGAGGUGAGUGGAACUGCGAGUGUAGAGGUGAAAUUCGUAGAUAUUCGCAAGAACACCAGUGGCGAAGGCGGCUCACUGGCCCGAUACUGACGCUGAGGCACGAAAGCGUGGGGAGCAAACAGG